AUUGAACGCUGGCGGCAGGCCUAACACAUGCAAGUCGAGCGGAUGAAGGGAGCUUGCUCCUGGAUUCAGCGGCGGACGGGUGGGUAAUGCCUAGGAAUCUGCCUGGUAGUGGGGGAUAACGUCCGGAAACGGGCGCUAAUACCGCAUACGUCCUGAGGGAGAAAGUGGGGGAUCUUCGGACCUCACGCUAUCAGAUGAGCCUAGGUCGGAUUAGCUAGUUGGUGGGGUAAAGGCCUACCAAGGCGACGAUCCGUAACUGGUCUGAGAGGAUGAUCAGUCACACUGGAGCUGAGACACGGUCCAGACUCCUACGGGAGGCAGCAGUGGGGAAUAUUGGACAAAGGGCGAAAGCCUGAUCCAGCCAUGCCGCGUGUGUGAAGAAGGUCUUCGGAUUGUAAAGCACUUUAAGUUGGGAGGAAGGGCAGUAAGUUAAUACCUUGCUGUUUUGACGUUACCAACAGAAUAAGCACCGGCUAACUUCGUG
rnacentral:rRNA from 1 species